GAGAGUAUAGCUCAAGUGGCAGAGCGCAUGCUUAGAACACAUUAGGUCUUGGGUUCAAUCCCCUGUCCCCCCA
rnacentral:tRNA from 1 species